GUGGUUGUAGUAUUUCAGCUUUAUCGUCGGUAAAAGACCAACGAGUCAAUUUCUCACGCGAGUCCUUGACUCAUACGUUUGUUUGGUUGUAUUUACCCAGAAUGCCUUACGCUAUUGUCCGCUUCCUACUUUUGGAGCAGUCUUCAAAUUGGCAAUUGUAUAUUCAUUUGAACCAAACCACAAUUCACUUCAACCAAACCGAGAGCUAGGUUUGUAGACGGACCAGAGUUAGCUCUUUUGAUCCACAUCAGAGUUUGAUCAUGCAUUCACACCUCCCCAAAUGAACUGGACUUUCUAAGAAAACAAACUACAGCUGGAUUAAAGUGGACUAAGCAGGUUUGGUAUGAAUGCAUCCAUAAUGACAUGGCACCAAGCUGGUUCUCUGGCACUACAGGACUGGAUCCAGCUUUUGGAGGAAAAGCCUUCCUGGAUGCUCAUGCUUCCAUCUCUCUAAGCUGCUGGGCUUCAAACCGGUCAUUGCUCUGGGAAUGGGAGGGAGCACAUGUUGCUGACACCUGUCUUUCCCAGGACGGGAGGGCCUUUAUGACGUAGAACCAGCAGGAGACAGAUCUGACAGGGUUGCUGACAAGGACUGGGCUGCACGCUGGGAGCAACACCACGGGCCAACACAAACAAGACUUUCUCUCCUCUCUGGGCGUGCAGCGAUGGCUACAGCUGGCAGCUGAGAAGUCUCAAGCUGUUAAUUAAGUCUGCCUCGCUCAGCACGCUUCCAUUUUCUGAGACCCGGUCCAAAGCAGACGCCUCCUAAUUGUUAUCGAGUCGGCAUGGAGAAAGUCUGAGCAGCAACAAGCUCAAAGAAUAAAGCUUCCUCUGAGGCGAUGGGAAUUGGGCGAGGAGCAGCAGAACCAGAAGAGUUGCAGAGGGGGUAAAGUCAGCGUGCUACAAAGAACAUUUGAAAUGGCCCAUUUAACAGCACUGUACUGCGCUCCCAGCCCAGGGUGCCAUUUGCAUACCUCCGAUCGGAUGAAGAUGGAUGGAGAAAAUCAGUGUCAGUGAGAUGAGCAUUUUAUCAAGGUUACGCUAUCCUCCAAACUCUUAAAACCUCUUUAUCUCAUCUCUGUUGUCAGAAUAUUAACUUAUCAACACCAGCCUUUUGUUGAAGUGAAAGAACGGAGCGACGGGGUUUAUCUGCUGGAGGACAGGCAACACGCCGGCCAGCCGGCUUCCAGAGGAGCAACGACAUUUAUUUCAAGAUGAUUUCAUCAUGAAAUGUAAGACAAGGGCUAAUGGUGUCCAUCAGAAUUUCCUCAAACUGAUGUUCAUUUUUCAUUGUUUUAUCUUAUAGUAAGUGUG